UCUGGUAACCAUAGCCAAGAGGUCACACCUGUUCCCAUGCCGAACACAGAAGUUAAGCUCUUGAGCGCCGAUGGGGAGGAUUAGCUCAGCUGGGAGAGCAUCUGCCUUACAAGCAGAGGGUCGGCGGUUCGAGCC
rnacentral:rRNA from 1 species